rnacentral:rRNA from 1 species
UACGAAGGGGGCGGAGCGUUGUUCGGAAUCACUGGGCGUAAAGCGCGUGUGAGGCGGACUGGAAGGUCUGGUGUGAAAGCCCGGGGCUCAACCCCGGAGGGUCAUGGAAACCGACAGUCUUGAGUCCGGAGGAGGAGAGUGGAAUUCCUGGUGUAGCGGUGGAAUGCGCAGAUAUCAGGAGGAACACCGAUGGCGAAGGCAGAUCUCUGGGCCGUAACUGACGCUGGAGGAGCGAAAGCCAUGGGGAGCGAACAGG